AUUGAACGCUGGCGGCAGGCCUAACACAUGCAAGUCGAACGGUAACAGGAAGCAGCUUGCUGCUUUGCUGACGAGUGGCGGACGGGUGAGUAAUGUCUGGGAAACUGCCUGAUGGAGGGGGAUAACUACUGGAAACGGUAGCUAAUACCGCAUAACGUCGCAAGACCAAAGAGGGGGACCUUCGGGCCUCUUGCCAUCGGAUGUGCCCAGAUGGGAUUAGCUAGUAGGUGGGGUAACGGCUCACCUAGGCGACGAUCCCUAGCUGGUCUGAGAGGAUGACCAGCCACACUGGAACUGAGACACGGUCCAGACUCCUACGGGAGGCAGCAGUGGGGAAUAUUGCACAAUGGGCGCAAGCCUGAUGCAGCCAUGCCGCGUGUAUGAAGAAGGUCUUCGGGUUGUAAAGUACUUUCAGCGGGGAGGAAGGGAGUAAAGUUAAUACCUUUGCUCAUUGACGUUACCCGCAGAAGAAGCACCGGCUAACUCCGUG
rnacentral:rRNA from 1 species